CCUACGGGUUGCAGCAGUGGGGAAUAUUGCACAAUGGGCGAAAGCCUGAUGCAGCAACGCCGCGUGAAGGAAGAAGGCCUUCGGGUCGUAAACUUCUGUCCUUGGGGAAGAAGAACUGACGGUCCCCAAGGAGGAAGCCCCGGCUAACUACGUGCCAGCAGCCGCGGUAAUACGUAGGGGGCAAGCGUUAUCCGGAAUUAUGGGGCGUAAAGAGUACGUAGGUGGCAACCUAAGCGCAGGGUUUAAGGCAAUGGCCCAACCAUUGUUCGCCCUGCGAACUGGGAUGCUUGAGUGCAGGAGAGGAAAGCGGAAUUCCUAGUGUAGCGGUGAAAUGCGUAGAUAUAAGGAAGAACACCAGUGGCGAAGGCGGAUGACUGGACGGCAACUGACGGUGAGGCGCGAAAGCGUGGGGAGCAAACAGGAUUAGAUACCCCUGUAGUC
rnacentral:rRNA from 1 species